rnacentral:rRNA from 1 species
AGAGUUUGAUCCUGGCUCAGGAUGAACGCUAGCGGCAGGCUUAAUACAUGCAAGUCGAGGGGCAGCACAGGUAGCAAUACUGGGUGGCGACCGGCAAACGGGUGCGGAACACGUACGCAACCUUCCUUUAAGUGGGAGAUAGCCCAGGGAAACUUGGAUUAAUAUCCCGUAAUAUUAUUGAGUGGCAUCACUUGAUAAUUAAAGCUCCGGCGCUUAAAGAUGGGCGUGCGCCUGAUUAGGUAGUUGGCGGAGUAACAGCCCACCAAGCCUACGAUCAGUAACUGGUGUGAGAGCACGACCAGUCACACGGGCACUGAGACACGGGCCCGACUCCUACGGGAGGCAGCAGUAAGGAAUAUUGGUCAAUGGACGCAAGUCUGAACCAGCCAUGCCGCGUGGAGGAUGACGGCCCUCUGGGUUGUAAACUCCUUUUAUCUGGGAAGAAAUGCAUUUUUUCUAAAGUGUUUGACGGUACCAGAGGAAUAAGCACCGGCUAACUCCGUGCCAGCAGCCGCGGUAAUACGGAGGGUGCAAGCGUUAUCCGGAUUCACUGGGUUUAAAGGGUGCGUAGGUGGAAUGGUAAGUCAGUGGUGAAAUCUCCAAGCUUAACUUGGAAACUGCCGUUGAUACUAUCAUUCUUGAAUAUCGUGGAGGUGAGCGGAAUAUGUCAUGUAGCGGUGAAAUGCUUAGAUAUGACAUAGAACACCGAUUGCGAAGGCAGCUCACUACACGAUCAUUGACACUGAGGCACGAAAGCGUGGGGAUCAAACAGGAUUAGAUACCCUGGUAGUCCACGCCCUAAACGAUGGAUACUCGACAUCAGCGAUACACUGUUGGUGUCUGAGCGAAAGCAUUAAGUAUCCCACCUGUGAAGUACGAUCGCAAGAUUGAAACUCAAAGGAAUUGGCGGGGGUCCGCACAAGCGGUGAGCAUGUGGUUUAAUUCGAUGAUACGCGAGGAACCUUACCUGGGCUAGA